UUUCAUCCGUGUAUUAAUCCAAUAAUGAGUUCAUAAUCUCAUGGUAUUAUUGGGAGGUGAUGGAAAAAGAGGUGUGACCUAUUUGGAGGGAGUAGGUAGUGGGGAGAUGAACUUAGGGACUGUAUCUGGUCCCCUGACCCUUUCUUUCAGCUUUUUCCUCUCUCUACUUCCCCUGAGCUGAGCCACUUUGCCCUACUCUUUACCUGCCACAUUGUGCUGUCUCAUCACAGACCAGGAAGCAAGAGCGCCAACCAGCCAUGGACUGAAACCACUGAAACUAGGACACAGUGAAAAGAUGGCUGACUGUGAACAAGGAAGCAGCCCUCACCAGAAUCCAGCCCUGCUGCUGCCCAGACCUCAGACUCCCAGGCUCCAGAACUCACGGACUUGCCCUGAGCACAACUUCCUGUGAUUGUCAAUAAAUGUAGCUGCUUUCUACUUGCUACCAGGUGACACUUGGGAAUUCUCCGCUCAUUGUUCACAAGAGCCUGGAUCAUGUCUGCUUGUCACAUGGAUUUUUUUUAAUAGAACCUAAUACAGUGAUUCUAAAAUUCAUUGGAAAGAAUAAAUGAGCAAGAAUUGCCAAGCAGGUAUUGCAAAGAAGCCUGCAUUAUUCUGGACAGAAGAGGUUUCUGCAUUUUGUGUUUUGGUCCAGUCUCUCCUCUUACAGAAGCCUGUUCAUCACGUGGGUGAAUUUAGAUACCUCUACUUUGAUUUUCUCCAAAACCCUGGAAAAUGUCAACAUGCUUAGAGUAAUAAAUAUACAUCUUGUCAGCUGAGCCAGCUGUUCUGAACAUGGCCUGUCUAACAGCAGUGUGAAGCUCUAACCAUUUGUGGACAUCUGACCUUGUACUUCCUGACCUCCAGAACCGAUACCAUUAGACUUGGUUAAAAAAAAUCUGCAAGGACAGAGAGAUGCUAGCAGAGCUACAUGGAUAGCAGUAACGGAGCCCUCGUCAGUGGCUGGGAGAAAGAUCCAGUUCGAAUUGGAAGAUGCUCUCAACUCUUCAGAUGCUCUGUAGCCAUGAGGGUAGGGAGGAGGAAGGCUCCCUGGUGAUCAAACUCCCUCCUACCAGGAGCCCCACAAGUGAAGAGGCAUCAUGAGGGUCGAAGCCUCUGCUUCCUCUUGAUGCCAGUCACUCUCCUACUCCUCCCUGGAUGGCCUAUCUGCAGAGACUCUCCUUCAUCUGUGGUGGAUGGACAACUGGUGGUCAGCUUGCAACCCCCCGCUGAACUGAAUCAGCUGUGGUGCUGGGUGUGGGAGGCCCACUUGAGGGUUGUCGGCAACAGCAUAAGAGGCAGAACUGGAGGG